rnacentral:rRNA from 1 species
GGAAUAUUGGUAAUGGGCGAAAGCCCGAACCAGCAACGCCGCGUGCGCGAUGAAGGCCUUCGGGUUGUAAAGCGCUUUUUAAGGGGAUGAGGAAGGACAGUACUCUUAGAAUAAGCCUCGGCUAACUACGUGCCAGCAGCCGCGGUAAAACGUAGGAGGCGAGCGUUAUCCGGAUUUACUGGGCGUAAAGCGUGUGUAGGCGGUUUGAUAAGUUGGAUGUGAAAGCUCCCGGCUCAACUGGGAGAGGUCGUUCAAAACUAUCAGACUUGAGAGUGGUAGAGGGAGGUGGAAUUCCGCGUGUAGUGGUGAAAUGCGUAGAUAUGCGGAGGAACACCAGUGGCGAAAGCGGCCUCCUGGCCCAUUUCUGACGCUCAGACACGAAAGCUAAGGUAGCAAACGG